UAGGGGCCAUUUUUUAACUUUGCCCAAGGGGCCCGAAAAAUAUAGAGCCGGCCCUGCUCGAGCGGCGUCGCACCCGGCACCCAUCUCCCCGGUGACUCCUCCUCCGAAGACGAGCGCUGCGGGAUCUCCUCUCGUCGCCGGUGAGUGCCGUUGGAGCGGCAUGGCAGUAGACUCGCGUGGUUGCCUCCGUCGGUUGAUGGAUUGGAGACGAAGCGAUUCAGUCCGCUGGAACCUUGUCAUUUCGUUCGUGGUGUGGGUUCAAGCGUACAGGCAGCCCAUAGUGGAUUCCUCUGUUUGGCCCAUGUGCAUGUGAUGCAGCUGCUGCUUAUUAAUCUUAGUUCGUAUAUUUCAUCUUUUUAGCAGAUUAUGAGUGUUCUAACAACACUUCCACUAGUGAUUUUAUUCCUGCUUUAGAUCUGCUAAAACUAGUAUAUGUAUUUUAGUAUUGUUUCUGUGGAGUGUCGAUGUAUUCCAGAUCCUAAGUUGAUGUGAUAUACUUUCACGUUUCUCACGUGUCGAG
rnacentral:lncRNA from 1 species